CUACGGGCUGCUGCAGUGAGGAAUCUUCCGCAAUGGGCGAAAGCCUGACGGAGCGACACCGCGUGGAGGAUGACGGCCUUUUGGUUGUAAACUCCUUUUCUGGGGGAAUAAAUGAUGAAGGUACCCCAGGAAUAAGCACCGGCUAACUACGUGCCAGCAGCCGCGGUAAUACGUAGGGUGCAAGCGUUAUCCGGAAUUAUUGGGCGUAAAGCGUGCGCAGGCGGUUUAUUAAGUUUGUGGUUAAAUCUGGUGGCUCAACCAUCAAAUCGUCACAAAAACUGCUAAACUAGAGAAUGACAGAGGCAACUGGAAUUCUGCAUGUAGGGGUAAAAUCCGUUGAUAUGCAGAGGAACACCAAAAGCGAAGGCAGGUUGCUAGGUCAUUUCUGACGCUGUUGCACGAAAGCGUGGGGAGCAAACAGGAUUAGAUACCCCAGUAGUC
rnacentral:rRNA from 1 species